rnacentral:rRNA from 1 species
GCUUACAUCCAUAUCACGUGGAAUGCACUGGUUCUCGUCCGAUCACUGAAGUUAAGCAACGUCCAGCCUAGUGAAUACCUAGAUGGGUGACAACUUGAGAAACUUAGGUGCUGUAAGCA